rnacentral:rRNA from 1 species
UACGUAGGGUGCGAGCGUUGUCCGGAAUUAUUGGGCGUAAAGGGCUCGUAGGCGGUUUGUCGCGUCGGGAGUGAAAUCAUCUGGCUUAACUGGGUGCUUGCUUUCGAUACGGGCAGACUAGAGGUAUGCAGGGGAGAACGGAAUUCCUGGCGUAGCGGUGAAAUGCGCAGAUAUCAGGAGGAACACCGGUGGCGAAGGCGGUUCUCUGGGCAUGACCUGACGCUGAGGAGCGAAAGUGUGGGGAGCGAACAGG